rnacentral:misc_RNA from 1 species
GCACCCCACCGUCUACCAUUUCCCCACGUGUCGUUGUCGUCGCAGUCGACACGGCACCUUUUUGUUUGGUUUCGCUUUUGCCCUACCUGAGAAAUGGGCACAUGCGCGUGCAUCCUCGCCCUCCCGGCCCUCUCGGUGUCUCGGGCUUGUUCGUGUACGUCGACGCAUAGGCGCUUCUACUCUGCACGCUCUCCAGCACCGUACUUUUUCCCGAUUUCUACGUCUGGCGAGACGGCGAAAACAUGUCUGAGGCGCACAGUGAGCUAGAGAAGCGACUUGAAUAGCACUAGCGCCACCACUACGUGGUGCACGUAGCGUUGUGGGACACGCACAGCAUGAGCCCAUCGAAAGGGUAGCAGGCCCACGGCGAAGAGACGGGUCUGCUCACAUGACACAAGCACGAGCUGCAGACAAACGUCUGCAUCGGGAAACUGCCGGCGGCCGUCGCGUCGGAUGCGGACAAACUAAGGGACAUUGCCCAGGAGAACGUUUGCGGGAUGCUACGGCGCCCACCAGUCCGAGCCAGCACUGCCGGUUGUGUUUGUGGCCCGCAAGGCCAAGCACACGACGGAGGAGAAGGCCUAAUGGACAAGUGCACACACACAGAACAACUUUGCGCUCCAUGAGCCGGGCCUGAAUCAGUGCUUCAAGGGUGCGCGUGAGGAGGCGCGCUACGGAAGCUCCAUCUUUGGACGCCACCAGUCACUGCUCCACCGUCGACCUGUGCGAGAGCGGCAUGUCGAUGGAGCGCGUCGAUGCCGCGCUCAAGGGAAGCAAGUUAUGCUUGCCGCCGUUUCUCAAGAGUUUCCUUGCAGCCACACAGGAACUGCUAGCGGAUACGGUGCUGCGGUGUAGGCCGGCGCUGGCUUUGCAGCGGGAGCUGUUCGCCGAGCUCGCGCUGCAAAUGCGGGGAAGGGUCUGCCUAGACCCCUCCCCGCAUCCUUUCGGCGGCAGGGCGCGAGAGGAAACGCGCACCACCACAAACGAAAGCACCGCCGCGUGCGUGAAGACAAUGCAUAUGACGCGCGAGUGAGGGUACUCACUCUAAAAACGUGAGCGUUAACCCUACUGGCGCAAGCGUGGGCAGCUCAUCGCCGUGGUCUGCUCCACGGGCCACUCACGAAAGGUAGCCACGUGUGCGCUGGGUUGUUCACGGUCGAUCCGGCGCCUUAGCGGCGUAUGUGGCGCCAGUGCUGUCAUCGCUAAGAGCGCGAUGGCAUAUACUUUGUCCUUGCUGGGAAUGUGCGCCAUGUGUAACAGCGCGUGCAGGCUGGGGCGCUUCCUCACAUACACGCUAGAGCCCAUGUACGCGGCGCCGCUGAUAGCGAGCGGCAAUCGCGAAAUCAGCGAAGGCGAGGUAAACGAGGCGAUUCACGCUGGCCAGCUGCAGUCUAUUCUGAACUAGCAGAGCGGGAAAAUUCUGGGAGAAUGGGAGCCGCGACAGAACGGGGGAGCUCAUCCUGUGAGGCCCACCAGUGAGGCGCUGAAUCCGCCGUACUUGGAAGGACUCAUACGACCGCCGCUUCUUGUGCAGCGAGGUUUGGGUGCAAGAGUUGAUGGCUGGUCUCUUCGCGUGCUGUAUGACGUUCUGUUCCUCUCUCCUCUGCUAUCUUUGGAGGGCAUCGGGGCAGAAGGCCCUCUGGCGAUGCACGGUGGGCAGCCCUCGUGAGCUGGGGCGCAGGGCGAGAGGGUGUGCUUCUCCAGAGAGCGGUGCCACAAACACACGUCUUGCUCCUUGUUGGAUGUCGAUGUAUCGCCGUGCCGGCGCCUUUCUCCCCACCUCUCCACACUUUGGGUACCACGGGAGUCGGAAUACGACGAGGCACGGCGGUGAGUCAAAGCAGCCGCGGCGCUUCUUCUGCCUUUGGGUCUGAUGUCGGUGGUGUCGCCCUUUUUCUGGCGCACUUCUCUCUCUGUCACCACCUAUAUCUGCUUGUACGCGCAACAUGCCGGAACUGGCAGAGGAGAGGUGGGUAACCGACAAGCAUGUCUAGUAAGUCCCAAGCAAGCACGCACAUCUUCUCACCAGUCAAGCCGCUCCUCUCGGUCUUCUGUGACAGUGCGCUCUUCUCUGCCUCGUCACCGUCUUAUCUUCGCCGGCCCACAACGGUGCACGUGAGAGCGGCGCUCCCAUGUCGCAUCUGGGCUGCUUGACGGCAGAGGGGUGAGCGGGAGGGGGUGGGGCGGAGGAAAAAAGGGCGUUAGGUGAUGAGGAUCUGGAGAAGGUCGACAUGGAUGAUGGUGAAUAUAUCGAGAGCGAAAUGCCCGGGUUAUCUGGUUGUCAAACCGCUUUUUUUUGACCGAAGCUCGCUCAGCGGUCGGCUCCCUCCGCACUUCGCCGACGCCACCAUAUCCGCUUGUUCACCGCCUCUGUCGCCUUCUUUUCUUUUGGCGGGGGGGGAGGUGGACUGCAGGGCACGAUGGUCGUAUUGGCUGGGGACACUCGCGAGACGCAAAGGCCUGCGGGAAAACAAAAGGCAGACAAACCGAAGGAGAACACGGAACAUUCGCGAAGGAUGGGUGACGCAUGGUCGGCAAAGAAUGUGUCUGUGCAGGUGCCUGAGUGGAGUAGCUGUCCUCAUCGCAAAGGUUGUGGAUAUGGAUCGAAGCUUUUCACGCUUCAUCACCCCCUCCCCUCACUCUCUCGCUUCUGUUCUGUCGGAGAUUCCAAUGGUGGUUGCGUGCCCCGCGCGCGUGCUGGUGUGGCGUGCGCAUACUCGACUGAGAGGAGGGCGGUUGCUGCUCCGACGCAUUCGACGGCGACUCUUCCUUGGCUGGGCGCCAAGCGUUGCUGCGCAGUUAGGCCUCUGCUUAGCUUUCGUGUGCCUAACUCGUCUCCAUCUUUUUUUUUUGCAAUAUCAUCCGCACGUGCACCUCCUGCGUUCUUAUCGGCCACCCCAACCUUUUCCACUCCAACAAG